CUCGUAGGCGGUUUGGUACGGCGAUGGUGAAAGCUCCCGGCUCAACUGGGAGAGGUCCGUCGCAACGGCUGAACUCGAGGAUGGUAGAGGCAGAUGGAAUUCCUGGUGUAGCGGUGAAAUGCGUAGAGAUCAGGAGGAACACCCGUGGCGAAGGCGGUCUGCUGGGCCAUAUCUGACGCUGAGGAGCGAAAGCUAGGGGAGCGAACGGGAUUAGAUACCCCGGUAGUCCUAGCCGUAAACGAUGGAUACUAGGUGUCAGCGGUAUCGACCCCGCCGGCGCCGCAGCUAACGCGUUAAGUAUCCCGCCUGGGGAGUACGGCCGCAAGGUUGAA
rnacentral:rRNA from 1 species